rnacentral:piRNA from 1 species
UUCCACUGAGUCACAUCCAAAACCAAGACCU